rnacentral:rRNA from 1 species
UACGGGGGGGGGCAAGCGUUGUUCGGAAUUACUGGGCGUAAAGGGCUCGUAGGUUGCCAACUAAGUCAGACGUGAAAUCCCUCGGCUCAACCGGGGAACUGCGUCUGAUACUGGGUGGCUUGAAAUCGGGAGAGGGAUGCAGAAUUCCAGGUGUAGCGGUGAAAUGCGUAGAUAUCUGGAGGAACACCGGUGGCGAAGGCGGCAUCCUGGACCGGUAUUGACGCUGAGGCGCGAAAGCUGGGAGGGCAAACGGG